AGAUGUAAUUGGCUUCUGGAGGUCAGGUUAUGUAAAGACCCCGGUGAACAGAGUAGGUUAAAAACAUAAGGAAACAAAAUGGCAAUAUCCUGGAUUUUACCAUCAGACUUUAAUGAGGCAUUGAACUAAGCUCCGGCUCUCUGCACAGAAGGCAUCCUUUAAGAAGAACCACUGAAGUUCCCUUAAUUUGAAUUACUUCAUUCUUCUCAAAGCACGAUGCUACGCAAACAGCUCACAGUGAACUCAGCGCUGUGGGUUUUCUUACCUAGGCGGACGAGCUGGAAGAAAUGUGGUCGGUGCAUGACUGGUACUGGGGUCGCGGUGGCUACAAAAGCAGAUGGUGGUUUUCAUUGCUCUGAGUUCUGUUCCUGGCUCUGUGAGGCAUCUGCACUCUCCAGCACUACCAGUUAUUCCACCCAGUGCCCACAGUAUAUUUCAUCCAAUGCUUUAGACAUCUUGUCACAUAUUUUAUCAUCCACUCAUCUUUCUCAGAGAGGAAGCCUUCAAAAUAAUUGAACAAAAGCCAAAAUAACUCUUGACUUUUGUUGGAGGGAAAUAUUGACCAGUGGUGGGGAAAAUAUCUAUUUUGAAUUUGCACACCUUAUACUUACCAAGACUUGCUGUGAUGUUACUGUUAAAACCUUCCUUUUGUUGAUAACUGUAGCAUUACAAAUACAUUUUUUCAAGU
rnacentral:lncRNA from 1 species